rnacentral:rRNA from 1 species
UUUGUGUGGGAGGUCCCCUGUAGAUGACGGGGUUGAUAGGCCAGAUGUGGAAGCGCGGUAACGUGUGGAGCUGACUGGUACUAAUUGGCCGAUGACUUACUUGC